rnacentral:rRNA from 1 species
AGCGCAGGCGGACCGGCAAGUUGGAAGUGAAAACUAUGGGCUCAACCCAUAAAUUGCUUUCAAAACUGCUGGCCUUGAGUAGUGCAGAGGUGGGUGGAAUUCCCGGUGUAGCGGUGGAAUGCGUAGAUAUCGGGAGGAACACCAGUGGCGAAGGCGACCUACUGGGCACCAACUGACGCUGAGGCUCGAAAGCAUGGGUAGCAAACA